rnacentral:lncRNA from 1 species
UCCAUUCAAGAAGAGACCAUGUAUUAAGACAAUAUAAGAGCUUCGAUCAGGACUAAUUCCAUUUUCACUCAUUUCAUGCCAUAUUCUGGAAACGUUAUCAAGCUGUCUCCAUCGGCAGAACUUUCUGAUCAACAUUAUGUAGGUGUCAGUAGUUGGAUUGCACCCCAUUGUUCUCAUCUUCUUCAAUAGCUCAAAUAUUUCUUCCUCUGUUCUCAGGAACCUUAAGAAGGCAUGAUAAGUUUGAAUGGUUGGGCAGAGGCCUCGCUGCAAAAGCUCCUCAAAAACCGCUCUAGCUUCAUCAAAUCUCCUGGCCUUGCAUAAAGGUUUGAUAACUGAGUUAUAAGUAACAACAUUUGCAAUAAUACCCUUCUCUUCCAUUGUUUUUAUGAGAUCAGCAGCUUCUUUCAGACACCUACCUUUCGCAAGAGAGUGAAUGACUGCAUUGUACACUUUCCUAUCAGGGUCAAUUUUCAUUCGCUUCAUAUCUUCAAAAAGCCUGAGCACCUUAUGAAGGUUGCGAACUUUUGAGUAACAAGAAAUGCAACUUGCAUAUGAGACAGCAUCAUGACUGAUACCUCUCCGUGUCAUCUCCUUCCAAACUCUCUCGGUG